GCGAACGGGUGAGUAAUAUAUCGGAACGUGCCCUAGAGUGGGGGAUAACUAGUCGAAAGACUAGCUAAUACCGCAUACGAUCUACGGAUGAAAGUGGGGGAUCGCAAGACCUCAUGCUCCUGGAGCGGCCGAUAUCUGAUUAGCUAGUUGGUGGGGUAAAAGCCUACCAAGGCAACGAUCAGUAGCUGGUCUGAGAGGACGACCAGCCACACUGGGACUGAGACACGGCCCAGACUCCUACGGGAGGCAGCAGUGGGGAAUUUUGGACAAUGGGGGCAACCCUGAUCCAGCAAUGCCGCGUGAGUGAAGAAGGCCUUCGGGUUGUAAAGCUCUUUUGUCAGGGAAGAAACGGUAGUAGCGAAUAACUAUUACUAAUGACGGUACCUGAAGAAUAAGCACCGGCUAACUACGUGCCAGCAGCCGCGGUAAUACGUAGGGUGCAAGCGUUAAUCGGAAUUACUGGGCGUAAAGCGUGCGCAGGCGGUUGUGUAAGUCAGAUGUGAAAUCCCCGGGCUCAACCUGGGAAUUGCAUUUGAGACUGCACGGCUAGAGUGUGUCAGAGGGGGGUAGAAUUCCACGUGUAGCAGUGAAAUGCGUAGAUAUGUGGAGGAAUACCGAUGGCGA
rnacentral:rRNA from 1 species